rnacentral:rRNA from 1 species
GGUGAACGCUGGCGGCGUGCUUAAGACAUGCAAGUCGAACGGCAGUCUUCGGACUGUAGUGGCGCACGGGUGAGUAACGCGUAACUGACCUACCCCAAAGUCGCGGAUAACGAUUCGAAAGAAUCGCCAAUACGUGAUGUGCUGUCAGAUUGUGUUCUGCCAGUAAAGAUUGAUUGUUUUGGGAUGGGGUUGCGUUCCAUCAGCUAGUUGGUGGGGUAAAGGCCCACCAAGGCGACGACGGAUAGCCGGCCUGAGAGGGUGGCCGGCCACAGGGGCACUGAGACACGGGUCCCACUCCUACGGGAGGCAGCAGUUAGGAAUCUUCCACAAUGGGCGAAAGCCUGAUGGAGCGACGCCGCGUGAGGGAUGAAGGUCUUCGGAUCGUAAACCUCUGAAUCAGGGACGAAAGACACUUCGGUGGGAUGACGGUACCUGAGUAAUAGCACCGGCUAACUCCGUGCCAGCAGCCGCCGUAAGAC